CCCUGGGUCAGGUGAUUUCUGCCGGCCCACGGUACGGUAG
rnacentral:scRNA from 1 species